AUACCACUAACUGAAGUCUGACCCAGACCUUCUUUCUUAAUUCCCUUUCUCUUCUUUUAGUUAUUUCACGGACCAAGUUAAAGUUUUUAGGACGAGAGCUACUCAUAGACCAGUCGUGUGCUGACUUGGCAUAUUUCCACUUUGAUGAGCUUUGUAACAGGCCUCUAAGUGCUGCUGAUUACAUUGAAAUAUGUAAAGUAUUCAAUACAAUAUUCAUACAAGAUAUUCCAUGCAUUACUAACCAAAUGAGGACUCAAGGGAGACGGUUCAUUACACUAAUAGAUACACUCUAUGAUCAUAAAGUUAAGUUAGUGUGUACAGCUCAAGGUUCUCCUUCAAAGUUAUUUUCCAAUAAAAUAAUGACAAGUGACAGUGAUCAUACCAGACAACUAAUGGAUGACCUUCAAAUUAAUCAAGAAGAUGCAGUGUCUUACAGUAUAUUUACUGGUGAGGAGGAGCUCUUUGCUUAUGACAGAACAAUAUCAAGACUGUAUGAGAUGCAGAGUAAUGAAUAUAUAAUGAAUAAUAAUAAUAAUAA